UACGAAGGGGGCGAGCGUUGUUCGGAAUUACUGGGCGUAAAGGGCGCGUAGGCGGCCCCUUUUGUCGCGUGUGAAAUCCCCGGGCUCAACCUGGGAACUGCAUUCAAACUGUCGAGCUAGAGUAUGGUAGAGGGUGGUGGAAUUUCCUGUGUAGCGGUGAAAUGCGUAGAUAUAGGAAGGAACACCAGUGGCGAAGGCGACCACCUGGACUGAUACUGACACUGAGGUGCGAAAGCGUGGGGAGCAAACAGG
rnacentral:rRNA from 1 species